rnacentral:rRNA from 1 species
CGCGGCCUAUCAGCUUGUUGGUGAGGUAAUGGCUUACCAAGGCUUCGACGGGUAACCGGCCUGAGAGGGACCGGUCACACUGGGACUGAGACACGGCCCAGACUCCUACGGGAGGCAGCAGUGGGGAAUAUUGCACAAUGGGCGAAAGCCUGAUGCAGCGACGCCGCGUGAGGGAUGACGGCCUUCGGGUUGUAAACCUCUUUCAGUCAGGAACAAGCCUUCGGGUGAGGGUACUGGCUGAAGAAGCACCGGCUAACUACGUGCCAGCAGCCGCGGUAAUACGUAGGGUGCGAGCGUUAUCCGGAAUUAUUGGGCGUAAAGAGCUUGAAGGCGGUUUGUCGCGUCUGCUGUGAAAGCCCAGGGCUUAACUCCGGGUCUGCAGUGGGUACGGGCAGGCUAGAGUGAUGUAGGGGUAACUGGAAUUCCUGGGUGUAGCGGUGGAAUGCGCAGAUAUCAGGAAGAACACCGAUGGCGAAGGCAGGUUUACUGGGCAUUUACUGACGCUGAGAAGCGAAAGCAUGGGGAGCGAACAGGGAUUAGAUACCCCUGGGUAGUCCAUGCCGUAAACGUUGGGCACUAGGGUGUGGGGAAGCAUUCCCACGUUUUCCGCGGCGUAACCUAAAGCAAUAAAGUGGCCCCGCCCUGGGGAGUACGG